CAACUGACUAGCCCUGCUCCCUAAGAGCUGAUCAGGCAAGUUUUGUUCCUGUAUCCUCGACCCCCACUGGGGCACUGGAGGUCCUGAUCACAAGAAGCAUCUGAAUCAGCCAAUCGCAUGUGGAGGUGGCAGUUCUCCCACGUGCUCCAAGGAGCAGUGCCUGUGGAUGGAGCAGGGUGCAGAGAUGCCUGUGGAUGGAGCAGGGUGCAGAGAUGCCUGGCCGUGCUUCUGCGUAGGAGCCCGAGGAGGGGGACAUGCAGCUGCUUCUGGGAGUUUCUUUGAGGGUAUGGAUCUGGCCCUGUCUUCACGGUCUCUGGACACCUCCUGCUCUCUCACGCACGUCUCCUCGGUGAGGUGAGGCACGGUGUAUGAUCAUCCCUGUCCUACAGUUCAACUGCGGAGAUACUUGGCGACUUGCUCAAGGCCACAUGAAGUCUGUGGCGGGGCUGGGAUUUGAACCCAUAUCUCUGUAGCACCCUAGCCACCGAGCCAUCCAUCCUGUCUGUCUUGAUGUGGGGGGUAGCGUGGCACUAGCAGAUGCUGCUCUGCCCUGAAAACAGGAUCAUAAACGCAUGGGAAUGGCCAGGCGCACCCCCUUUCACUCUCUAGUGUGGAGGAAGGCUUGAAAUGGCUUCCAUUGUGUUACCUGGCCAGAGGUGGGCCCUAGAGAGCAAUGGGAGAUGUUCCCUUCCCUCCCACCCACCAUGAGUUGCUUUGCUGCUUUUCUCCAGGCAAGGCAGGACCCUGUCUCUCAUCCCUCGCUUUGAAGUCAGCCAAGCGGUCAGCACGCUCCAGACAGCUUUGUCCCUGCGUGUCCAGCCACUGGAGGGAAGGACACUGCAGGGCAUAGAUUGGAGGGUGGGGAGUGGAUCAGAAUGGCCAGACACAAACCCUGGGCUCAGCAGUGCAGCCUUUUCCAUGUUAGUGUAACCAGAGCAGAUAGAAAAUAUCCUACCUGGAAAAAGGCUGGCUGAACAUGCAUUCACAAUCUCCUCCUGCCUGCGAGCCAUCUGCUCACCCCGCCAUCCUUGCUUUGCCUCUAUGUUCUUCGGUAGCUUCCUGCUCCCAUCCAUGGGACUGCAAGGUGGCCUGACCCAUCAUUCAGCCAGGAUCUGCUGUGUUUAAGCCAAAGUCUGUGCCACGUUUUCCAGGUCAUCCUGCCUCAGUUUCCCCAUCCAUGAAAGGGGAAUAGAUCUUGCUUCUGUCUCAGGGGAGGGAAGGAGGAAGAGCUAGUUCAGGUGUCAAACAUGUGUUCUGCUUGAUGGGCACAGCCAGACUCUGCAGGACCUUCGCUUUUCUCCCCACCUCCCCUUUUCCUUUAAAUGACCGUUUCUAGUGUCACGGUCAUGGACUAGACUCGGCUUUGCCUUCCUGAGUCUGCAGCCAGCUUGAAAUGCUGGCUUGCACAGGUGGGAAUGCCCACGGCCGGAUUCCUCUCCCUGGAGAGCCACGUGAAAUGGAAACACCACUUGUGACCAUUGUAUUGCUGAUCAUGUUAGCAGAGGGGAAGGGAGUGGGAAUUGCUGGGGAGCGGGUGGUAAGGAGAGAGGAUGGGGAAGGGAGACACA